rnacentral:rRNA from 1 species
GUCUACAGCCAUAUACCCUGAAUAUGCCCAAUCUCGUCUGGUCUUGGAAGCUAAGCAGGAUCAGGUCUGGUUAGUGCUUGGAUGGGAGGUAUUUGAGUAGGAGACUGCCCAGGAAUACUGGGUGCUGUAGGAU